AUUGAACGCUGGCGGCAGGCCUAACACAUGCAAGUCGAGCGGAUGAAGGGAGCUUGCUCCUGUAUUCAGCUGCGGACGGGUGAGUAAUGCCUAGGAAUCUGCCUGGUAUUUGGGGAUAACGUCCGGAAACGGGCGCUAAUACCGCAUACGUCCUUAUGUAGAACGUGGGGGAUCUUCGGACCUCACGCUAUCAGAUGAUCCUAGGUCGGAUUAGCUAGUUGGUUGGGUAAAGGCCUACCAAGGCGACGAUCCGUAACUGGUCUGAGAGGAUGAUCAGUCACACUGGAACUGAGACACGGUCCAGACUCCUACGGGAGGCAGCAGUGGGGAAUAUUGGACAAUGGGCGAAAGCCUGAUCCAGCCAUGCCGCGUGUGUGAAGAAGGUCUUCGGAUUGUAAAGCACUUUAAGUUGGGAGGAAGGGCAGUAAGUUAAUACCUUGCUGUUUUGACGUUACCAACAGAAUAAGCACCGGCUAACUUCGUG
rnacentral:rRNA from 1 species